AGGGUGCACUGAUGUCUGAGUGAUGUUUAACCAUGCCGGUCCAGGUACAGUGCCUGUCUUCGGAAUGAUGCAGGGAUCCCAAAGUGGAGAGAAUUAGACCUAUCGCAUUUGUGAUUAGAGUGGGCACUACCACCAGGAGAAGGACAUUUCUCAGGCUAGCCCAUUGGUUCCAGGAGAUUAAUGAGAGACGAAUCAGAGUUGUCUCACAUAGCUACCCCAGCCAAGCCAAAUCUAACAAGAGACCUCAGCUGACCUGCAAUUGCGUGAACUCUAACAAGAAAUAGUUGUGUUAAGCCCCUGAUUUUGGGGACGGUUUGCUCUGCAGCGGUAACUAAAUGACUCAGUAGCGGCUUUUGAUAAUUGGGCUUCCAAAGUUGUGCGCACACUGAAAAGCAACAAAUGAUCAGGAGAAUUUGGGGCUUACCCAAUGAGCAAAGCUUUGACAAA
rnacentral:lncRNA from 1 species